rnacentral:misc_RNA from 1 species
UGGUGCUAGGUAUGUUACGGGUGGUUGGAUGUCUGCAUGUGCAGCAACGUCCACCCGUGCACACCUCUUCAUUUGCCGCGAGGGGCCGUCCUUCGGCCUCUAGCAACCGUCGGUUUUUCCUGUGUUGCGUGCCUUCACCAUGGUAUCCUGUUGCCUGCUUUAUGUCCCAUUCCAUCGUGCGUCGCUCAUGCGGCGUGGGAUGGACCCCGAAACGGCCCCUUUGUUCCGUCCCGUCGGCGCUUGUGCGCGGUCGGCAUGGCCCAUUGGGCGUCGCUUGGUUUCUCGGAUACGGAACCUUGUGUGGGUACGGGGUCUCCCGGGACCCUGUGUUUGCCCUCGUCAAGCGUUCUCGCUUCUCAGAAACGACCGGCCGGUCGCGUGUCG